GGACUGCCACAGAGAACUCUCACUGUACAGAGAGUUACAUUUACCUACUUUCCCACUUGAAGCCAUCUCUCCCAAUUAUGUGACUGACGGCUCCUAUCCAACUCCUCGGAAGAAAAUCAACAUUUCCUAGUGGCAUAUUUUUGAAGAGGCUUUCUCAAAGUACCUGUUGUCUACCUCUUGAACCCCCUGCAGAGCAAAGAGGGGCAGAGAUCACAGGGGAAGAUGAAGAGCUAAAAGGCAAGUGUUUUUUUGAAAAUGUUUUCACUUAAUGGUACCUUCUGACUGCUGGGUGCUUUCUAUCACAACAUUCAGGAGGCUUCACUUUCCUACCAUUGUACUGGUGCUGCAGUGAGCCAGCACAGCCCUGCACCUGGAGAAGAUCGAAAGUCCCUGACCAUUGCUGGGAUAAAAUCUACAGGCCUGCAGUUAUUAAAGAUAUCCAUGAUCAAAUGGGCUGAAUUCAAAAGCGGAAAAGGAAAAGGCGGAGCCAGGUAUCUUCCAUGUGCAGAUGCCGUGCCAAAGGAUAGAAGACACUGGACACACACAGUGGCAUCCAACACUUGUGCCUGGACAUCGUUUUAAUUUUCAUUCACAGGCUACUCACGUAGAGAAAGGCUUUCACAGUGGUACAAGGCCUGCUUCUUAGUAGGUCCCAGCCUGGUACAGGGAGUUGAUUAAGGACACGUCAUCUUUAAGCUAACCUUCAGGCACACUGCUCAGUGUGUGCUCAAGCUCACAACGAUCUCCACCCAGCUAAUAUGGCAUCCAUACCCCAAGCUGUAUGGAUGGUUAUUGUACAGCCAGAAGACUGUCCUGAAUUGGACAAGCAUAUGGUGGAUCAUAUCCUCCAGGGUCUCCUUUUAAGUUGAAAAUUUGAUCAAGGAAGAAGAGUUCAGCCAGCCUGAAGAAAAGACAUGACCUCAUCACACCAGCAGCUCCAGUGCUUAUUAGACACAACAACUGUGUCAACUUCUGUUACAUUCAGGACU